UACAGAGGUGGCAAGCGUUGUUCGGAAUUACUGGGCGUAAAGGGCGCGUAGGCGGUCUUGUAAGUCUUGUGUGAAAUCCCUCGGCUCAACUGAGGAACUGCACGGGAUACUGCGAGACUUGAGUUCGGGAGAGGGAAGCGGAAUUCCGGGUGUAGGAGGUGAAAUUCGUAGAUAUUCGGAAGAACACCAGUGGCGAAGGCGGCUCACUGGCCCGGUACUGACGCUGAGGUGCGAAAGCGUGGGGAGCAAACAGGG
rnacentral:rRNA from 1 species